CGUAGUGGCGCACGGGUGCGUAACGCGUGGGGAAUCUGCCCUUGGGUACGGAAUAACAGUUAGAAAUGACUGCUAAUACCGUAUAAUGACUUCGGUCCAAAGAUUUAUCGCCCAGGGAUGAGCCCGCGUAGGAUUAGCUAGUUGGUGAGGUAAAGGCUCACCAAGGCGACGAUCCUUAGCUGGUCUGGAGAGGAUGAUCAGCCACACUGGGACUGAGACACGGCCCAG
rnacentral:rRNA from 1 species